rnacentral:rRNA from 1 species
CAACAUCGGUCCAAUCCUUAAAGUCAUCCUCAGUUCGGACNGGGGUCUGCAACCCGACCCCACGAAGCUGGAUUCGCUAGUAAUCGCGCAUCAGCCAUGGCGCGGUGAAUACGUUCCCGGGCCUUGUACACACCGCCCGUCAAGCCAUGAAAGCCGGGGGCGCCUGAAGUCCGUGACCGCGAGGGUCGGCCUAGGGUGAAACCGGUGAUUGGGGCUAAGUCGUAACAAGGUAUC